rnacentral:lncRNA from 1 species
AUAAGCAUCAUGUCACCCUUGCAUUUAAUCACUUUGAAAACCCCAAAAUUUACCCAGAAAAUCUCUAUUCAAAAAUGCUUUCUUUGAAUUUGGGCUUUGAUUCUUAAUUUUGAGUAUUUGCAUUUUAACCUAUGAGGGUAUUGGUACAAAAAGGGAUUUAAGGCAUAUAUAAAGCUAUCCCAUAAUUGACUUUUGAAACUAUUUUGAAAAAUAAUUUAUUUUGAUAGCCUAAGGGCCCUAAAAGCCAUUUUAUAGGAAAAUGUAUUUUUAAAUAAUUUAUUUUGAGGAAAUUCUUGUUCCAAAAGUUAGAUCAUAUGAAAAUAUGAUUUUACAAAUUUUUUUGCAAUUUAUUUGGAGCGAUUUGGAGCUCUGAAUCAAUUUUGAGGUUGAAAAACAGAAAAAAGAAAAAAAAAGAAAGGAAAAAACCGAAGAAAACCGGACCGAACCGGCUGAACCGGACCGUACUGGCCAAACCGGACUGGAUCGACCGGCUCCGUCCCGCCCGAGCCGCCCGCAGCCACUGACCGGUGGACCCCGCCAUCGUCUUCCCCACGAACUGCCUCCGGAUUCCACGCGCACGACUCCGAGUCCACGCCCACGCCUCCACUCCGAUUUCUCCGCGCACGGGACGUCUCCUCCCAAUCCCUGCGCGUCACCCCGAAGCCCUCGCUUUUCUCCUCCACUUCCCCCAAACCGCACGUCCAAUUUCGCUGCGGUUAGAAAGUAAUUGCUCACCGGAGUUCAUCUCUGUCGUUGCCGUUCUUCGCGUUUUCGCUGCCGUUCCGGUGAGCCUCUCACCACGCCGACCCCCUAACCUCUCUCCUAUCCUUGUUCCGCACCCUGUGACGCACGCACUUUAGUUUUUGGAGCGCCGCUCGCGCGCUGUUCGCCGUCCGCC